GCUCCGGUAGUGUAAUGGUAGCACACCCGUCGGUUGAUGCAACAAAUAGAUGCUGACUGGGUAGCCUGAGGUUCGAUCCCUCUCCGGAGCG